rnacentral:rRNA from 1 species
ACCUGAAGGGAGCUAUCCCUAGUACGAGAGGACCGGGAUGGACGCACCUCUAGUGUUCCGGUUGUGGCGCCAGCCGCAUCGCCGGGUAGCUACGUGCGGAAGGGAUAACCGCUGAAAGCAUAUAAGCGGGAAGCCCACCCUGAGAUUAAGUAUCCCGGGUCGUAAGACCCCUGAAGGCCCCUUCUAGACUAGGAGGUUGAUAGGCCGGAUGUGGAAGGCCAGUAAUGGUUGAAGCUUACCGGUACUAAUUGGCCGUGAGGCUUGACCAU